rnacentral:rRNA from 1 species
UACGUAGGGGCCGAGCGUUGUCCGGAGUUAUUGGGCGUAAAGCGCGCGCAGGCGGCUUCGCGCGCCCCGACGUGAAAGCCCCCGGCUUAACCGGGGAGAGUCGUUGGGGACGGCGGAGCUUGAGGGCGGGAGAGGUCGGUGGAAUUCCCGGUGUAGUGGUGAAAUGCGUAGAGAUCGGGAGGAACACCUGUGGCGAAGGCGGCCGACUGGGCCGACCCUGACGCGUGAGGCGGCGAAGGCGUGGGGAGCGAACGGG